rnacentral:rRNA from 1 species
GAGUUUGAUCCUGGCUCAGAACGAACGCUGGCAGCGUGGAUUAGGCAUGCAAGUCGAACGAGACGCUUUUCAAUCAAUCCUUCGGGAGAGACUGAAGAGUUGAGAGUGGCGGAAGGGUGAGUAACGCGUGGGUAAUCUACCCUUAAGUUGGGGAUAACGUUUGGAAACGAACGCUAAUACCGAAUAUGGUUCCUGGUCGCAUGGCUGGGAUACUAAAGGUGGGGAUUCUUCGGAACCUGCCGCUUUUGGAGGAACCCGCGUAUGAUUAGCUUGUUGGUGAGGUAACGGCUCACCAAGGCUCCGAUCAUUAGCUGGUCUGAGAGGAUGGUCAGCCACACUGGGACUGAGACACUGCCCAGACUCCUACGGGAGGCUGCAGUCGAGAAUCAUUCGCAAUGCGCGAAAGCGUGACGAUGCGACGCUGCGUGGAGGAUGACGGCCUUAGGGUUGUAAACUCCUGUCAUGAGGGAAAAGUUGUCUUGUGGUUAAUAACUGCAAGGCUCGAUGGUACCUCAAGANGAAGCCACGGCUAACUCUGUGCCAGCAGCCGCGGUAAUACAGAGGUGGCGAGCGUUGUUCNGAUUUACUGGGCGUAAAGGGUGCGUANGUGGNUUGGGUAGUCGGAUGUGA